GAAAUGCGAUACUUGGUGUGAAUUGCAGAAUCCCGUGAACCAUCGAGUCUUUGAACGCAAGUUGCGCCCUUUGGCAUUCCGAAGGGCAUACCUGUUCGAGCGUCAUUAUCAACCAUCAAGCCUAGCCUGUCGUUGGACUUUACGGCUGAAAUAUACCGUAGGUCCGAAAGAUAAUGACGGUGUCGUGUUUGACCCUUAAAUGCAACGAGCUUUUACUAGCACGCAUUGAAGUGGUCGAUCGACCCGGUCUUAAUCCAUUAAUUUUCUAAGGUUGACCUCGGAUCAGGUAGGAAUACCCGCUGAACUUAA
rnacentral:misc_RNA from 1 species